rnacentral:lncRNA from 1 species
CACGGGCCCAGCAGCCCCAGGCUCCUGCAGUCAUGCCAACGGUGCAGGUGCUGGGCAGGGGCUCCUGUGAGGGACGUCCCUGUCACAACAAUCUCCUUGGAGCUUCUCCUUCUCCCACUCGCCUCCCUGAUGCCAUCGACCUCAGGCCACUUUCCCACAUUUCCCUCUCCCGUGGUUCCAGGAGGCUCUGCCACAACUCCAGGCGAUGGAUUCUGCCCUGGGAUUCCCGCCAGCUCCUGAGAUGUGUGACUCCCAGGUGAGGAGACUCCUGGGGAUGUAACACACAUUCCGAGCACGAUGCCUGCAUCAGGAAGCGGCCCUCGACGGACUGUUCCCCGUCCAGGAGGGCUGUACCUGUACCUGCGAGCAGACCCGGCUACCCUCCCCACUUCAUAAAGCAUACAAAGCAUUCCACCGACGUGGAGUGACAGCCACCCCACCUGAGGACCUGAUGCCUCCAGAUGCUCAAGGCCAGCCCUGCGAUGAUGUGAGGAGCCAGGAUGCACUUGGGGUGGACACGGGUCUGCCGGGCUCUGUCCACCUUCUCGAGAACUCCCUGUCUCCCUGUUGAGUUGCUAAGCUUUUGCCAGGCAGUUGGCCACGGAUUAGCGUUACCAUGGUUACCUGAGAGUAGCCCCACGGGGUGGACUAAACUCUAGCCAUACAGCUUGUCUAUUUCAAAGGGACGGGGAAUGGAGGCAACUUUCCGAGUCAGUGGAACAGUUGCUGCUGCAUAUUCCAUAGAAAAAUGGAGUUUUGGGGUGUGUGUUACUGAACCAGUAUCUGUUCCUCAACCUCAACUUAGCUUUCUCAUGCAUGUAGGAACUCACAGAUACUCUCAAAGAAGACACUGGAGAAGAAGAGCUCCUCAGCAGAGUGAGCAUUCACUACAACACGGCUUAAUGAUUUGGGAUCACCUGGUUGCUAGUUAAUAAUCCAGAUACGUGAUUUAGUAGGUCUGGAAGAGGAGAAUACCAGGAAUAUACACAUUUAAAAAAGAAAAUGUCAUUUUUGAGCACGCUGAAGUUGGAGAAGCAUCAAUUUAUUGUGUGCAAAGUUUUGAGAGGAAGGAAAACCUGAUCUUGUCACAUCUCUGCCUAAAAUUCUUCAAAGAGGAGAAGAGGAAAAGAGUUGCUACCCUGCAUCAGGUCAUGCUCUACAAGAUGGGCCACCAUAACUGAGUGACACCUGGGUAAGGAUGUAAUGGUGCAGUGAGAGGAGAAGAGGAGGGUUCGGUCAAAGGCUCGCAACAGUGAUGUUGCAGCAGGAUAUUGCAGUGAACCUUGCAGGCUGAUGGAGCAGAGGAGCUCCAAUUAUAUGUUGAGACGAGACAGCCUUGUUG